CAACUUGAGGACUCAUCGGGUCUGCUGCCUCAUCCUGCGAUCUUUAAAUGUUAAAUGCGGUUUUAAAAGAGUGAGACCGUCUUCCUCCAAGGCAGAAAGGCGUUCCUGAACCAGCCGGGGCUAUAACGUCGUGGACUUUAGUAUGAUUCAGAAGGGGGUCGAUGCCAGAAAAUAAACGCUUCAUUAUUAUUGCUCUCUUUUGCAGUCCCUUUAAAAGCAAAUCUUGUUUUCCCUAAGUUAACUCGGUGGAGAUAUAAGAUAUUAAAGAACGGAGGUGAGCCUUUUCUUAGCCUUUAAUUGUGUGUAAUAAGUGCAGUGUCUGGUUUCUGGGUUAAAAUUCUCCGAAGCCUGUGGUCACUGACUUUGACUCACGAGUUUGAAAUGCGUGUAUGUGAAGAGAAGUUAUACGAAAGUUUUUUUUCUUGAGCUAACUUUUUGGGCGAAGCAUAAACGGAGUUAAUACCUUUACCUUGGCCCACGUCCAAAUAAAUCUUCAACACGAGGAAACCCCGCACUUAAACAACCUUGGGCAAGUGAGUUCGAUGUCUCUUGCAGACAUUGAGGGCAUUUUUAUUACAUUUCUUUCCAAGCUUUUGGUUUGCUGAGUGGAAUGCACUAAUUCCAAGUGUCGGACACUAACAGAAGGAGAACAAGAAGUGCUAAAGUUCACGCUGCCAGACAGUAUUUGUGGAGAGCGUGAUUGAUGAGAAGGCCUUUCUGUCAGAUUGAUCACGCACAAUUGGAUUUCAUCUCCACAACCGUCUUGGAGGCGGCCGUAGUGAGGGUGAGGUUUCCAUUUGGAACGUUCUCUUAAUAAGAUCUGGAAAAGAUGCAUUUUGUGCUUGUGGAGUUUCAUGCUGAAAUGUCAAGAGAAUACGAGACAGUGUGUGCUUAAGGGUGCUCCCAACCACGCACGAAGUAAGUAUCACUUGCAGCUGAGAUAUUAUUAUCAACUCAGUGAAAUAUGGUCUAUCCGAAACUUGCUUUUUUUGUAGUUUAAGGAUCUAUCCACAGCCAAAUGUUACAGGCUAAUACAUUCCAAGGUCGUCUUCGGAGGGACGCGAAGAAGCACAGUGGCUUCAUAGGAAAAGGUUUUCCUGCUGCUGCACAGAGGGACCAGAACUUACACUCAUGGAAUGUAUGUAAAUGAAAAAUUGAUCUCCUCUUGACAAUAACUGCAAAAAUCUGAAGCCUGACAGGAAGCAGAGAAACAAAACUGGGAACAUUUGGAUCGUGAGCUCUUCAGCGGAUACAGGUUGAGUACCCCUUAUCCAAAAUGCUUGGGGCCAGAAGAGUAUUGGAUUUGGAAGAGAUAACUUGGGAUCAGUGUGAUUCCUGACUCUGAAUUUGUGUGCAACUGGCAAAGAAAGACCACUUCAACUAUAGGAAAUUACUUUCUGGAGAAGUUAUCCUUUGUACCAUGUAUUCUUCAGAGAAAAGGUGCUCAAAAUCAUUGAAAGAAGACAUGUAGGUUGGAAUAAAUGAACUCAAGCCUUAGGAUGAGUCACUUGGCAGAGUUAUGGAUAUUAAUAAGGGCCAGAAGUAUUUUAUCAUUAUGUAGAGGGUUAAGUUUCUCAUGCUAAUGACAGCAAUGGGGAAGUAGGAAAAACUACACAUGAAGACUGCAGCUGCGGUCACUGCAAAACUUGUUAUGAUCUUUAUCUUUUUAAACUUCAAAUGUAUUGUCUUAAAGGGAGUCAAGUUCUUGUAAAGUUGACUGCCGUUGAGCCGAAUGUGGUAAUGAAAGAAAAUCUAAUCCUUGAGAGAAUGCACUCAAGUGCAACAAUUAUUUCAUACUGACUGAAGAACUUAUGAGAAACAAAACAUUUUUGGGGGAUUUUGCAAUAUACGAUAUGACUGCAAACUUGUUCAUGGUUUCACUUUUGGCCACCUAAAUGAUUAUGUGGUUGAGAAAAUUGUGCACUUUUUUAAAGCUCAUGGAGGAAACCAGAGGAGCUGGCUCAAUAAAAUUCUUAAAGAUGCUAUUUCUCCCACUGCUCCCUCCAGUUACUGAAGGACUCUGGUGAAUAGUCAGCCCUAAACCCAAUUAACCUGUUUGGUGAUUUGUUACCAGAUGUGCAACAGGAAUGGCAUAUUAUUAGAAUGGGAUAAUCAUCAUACUAUGAAUUGAUUGGUACAAAUAAAAAUGUAGAAGUGCAAUAAAUUUAGCUUGUUAUGCUCUUCUUCCUUAAAAUUCAUAAACAUUUCUUUUUAAUCUAUAGUUGAAAUGAUACUACCAUAAUUUCUCCAAUUCUGGGCUUCGAAAUCUUUGACUCUUGGAAAUGGGUUCUGAAUUGAGGUACAAAAGAUAAAGAAAGAGAAAUUUAAAACAAGCUGUUCUCUAAAAUUUGGAGAAUACCUGCAAAUAGGAACAAUUUGAAAGAGUUAAGCAGGAGAAACAAUGAGGAAAAUUAACUCUGAAUUAACUGGAUGCAUUGAGGAAUGCUUGACAGAAGGGAGUAUAUUUCAAGACUGAACAGGAGUUAUAGACUUAAAAUAUUGGCAGUGGGCACUGUAACAGGAGUAAGACAAUGAGGUUGUGUGCACAACAUGCACUUAAAACUGUGUGACCAAAUUCUGUUCUAACUCCCAUAAAUAGGCAGAUCUCAACAGUACAGGAAGGAGGUGGGGAGUCCAGUAGCAUGGUGUCAAGACAACAAUUUUUUCCUCAAUGUCAGCAGAAGAAAGGAACUGCCUUUGACUUCAGGAAGUGGGUGAAGGAAAUGCCUUUAAUUGUAUCAGUGGUGGUGAGAUAGAAAUGGUUGAGAGCUUAAGGUUCCUUGGUGUAUCACUAACAACUUCUCCUGGUCCAGCUAUGUGGACAUGAACCAAAAAAGUGUACUAAUGCCUCUGUUUCCUCAGAAGGCUAAGGAAAUUCAGUAUUCACUCUGUAACUCUGAGCAAUUUUUAUAGCUGCACAGUAGAAAGCAUCCUGUCAGGAUGCAUCACUGCUUGGUACGGCAACUGCUCUUCGCAAGAAUGUAAGAAGUUAUCUGAAUGCAGCCAAGUCCUUCACUCAAACCAAUCUACUUUCCACUGAUUCUGUCCAGUUGCUGCUGUUAAGAAAGGCAGCAGACAUAAGACCUCUUCCACCAUAGUCAUUCUCGCUGCCUUCUGUCAGGUAGAAACCAAAAAACCUGUAAACUCAAACCAUCAGACUCGGGCAGUCUCUGUCCCACCAGUACCAGCACUUGAAAAGACUUAGCAUCGAUAAUAGCUGAACUCUUUAUCUCUCAAUCUUCUCCACUAUGACCUCUCAGUUAAUUUGUUUGCUUACCCUGCACUUUCUCAGUACCUGCACCUCUAUAUUCUUCAUUGUCGUCUUUUUACUAAUUUGGUAUAAUUUUUGCAUAGCGUGAUCUGUUUAAUGCCACACAAAACAAAAGCUUUUCACUGUAUUUUGGUACAUAUGACAGUAAAAAUAAAAAUAUUUGGCAAGUGGAAAACUAGAAUUUAAAUCUUGGGUGUGGUCUAAAUUGGAAAGCUCUUUUAGAGGCUGGAGAAUAUGACAAGCCAAUGAACUUCCAAUGCUUUGAGAUUCUUUAGCAAUUAUCCCAAAAUGCAAAACAAUUCUUCUGUAUUUCUUUCAUCUUAUUUGAAUAUUUUGUUGAGUAGUUCUGUUUUGAAAGGGAUUUAAUUUUAUUUUUUGCUUCUUUCUAUCA